rfam:Pelodiscus sinensis unplaced genomic scaffold scaffold3650, whole genome shotgun sequence.
GUCUUGGUGGUAUAGUGGUGAGCAUAGCUGCCUUCCAAGCAGUUGACCAGGGUUCAAUUCUCAACCAAUGCA